AAUAAGACAUAAUCCUUUUUACUAUCUAAGAAGUAUUCUUCUUCUCUGGCUUUUUCUGAGCCUUCUACCACUCGAGCUUGGCCCCAACACCUGAGCUCGGAGGUUGUUGAC